AUACGUAGGUGACAAGCGUUAUCCGGAUUUACUGGGCGUAAAGGGCGUGUAAGCGGUCUUGCAAGUCAGAAGUGAAAUUCCUGAGCUCAACUCGGGCGCUGCUUCUGAAACUGCAGGACUUGAGUGCUGGAGGGGCAAUCGGAAUUCCUAGUGUAGCGGUGAAAUGCGUAGAUAUUAGGAGGAACACCAGUGGCGAAGGCGGAUUGCUGGACAGCAACUGACGGUGAGGCGCGAAAGUGUGGGGAGCAAACAGGAUUAGAUACCCUGGUAGUCCACACUGUAAACGAUGAAUACUAGGUGUGCGGGGACUGACCCCCUGCGUGCCGGCGUUAACACAAUAAGUAUUCCACCUGGGGAGUACGAUCGCAAGGUUGAAACUCAAAGGAAUCGACGGGG
rnacentral:rRNA from 1 species